GUGCUCACUUUGGCAGCACAUAUACUAAAAUUGGAACAAUGCAGAGAAGAUUAGCAUGGCCACUGCAUUCAGUGUGGAUUCCAAACAAAAUGUUUAGAUUACUU